UUUGCCACUUGAUUGACAUGCAGGGCGGCCAGUCUGAGAUCUCUUUUCUUCUAACACACUGGUCAUCCCGCACGCACGAUCAAAUGCGCGAGCUACUGCAAAGCACCAGCUAUCUAAGUGAUCUAGUUAGCCUUCCAAUUUAUAUCGACUAAAGAAGGGAUUUUAAAAAAAAAAAUGUUGUUUUAGGGGGGUGGAGGGUAUGGGCUGGAUGUGGAAUUGGAAGAGGAUUUUUUUUCUCUCACAAUGUCACAAUCGAAGUGCGUUUGUCUGAUCUGUCAAUCUAUCAUUGCUAUUCCAAAGAAGAAAAAUGUGGAAAGGCACUUUCGAACUGUUCAUAAAAACUACGAAACUGACUUCCUUCCGAAAAGCAAUCUGAGAAAGAGAAAGGAGAGGGAACUAAAAACGCACUGGAGACGCAAUGGAAGGCGUGUGCGCAACUUGACAGCAUACAUUACACAGAGUAGACUGAAAAUUGUCUGUCAGACUUUGACAGAUGG